rnacentral:rRNA from 1 species
UUUUAAUAGAUUGCUAUAUUUUAAUAGACUUAAAAGGUAAAAAAAUUAAUUAUAGGGGUAAUAAAUUAGUAGAGUUUAAUAAAAUUUUAUAAAUAAUAAGGUGAUAGGGUAAAGUACUGAAAAGGAAAUCUGAAAUAUUAAUUUAAAAUAAUUUUAGUAGAUAUAAAAUAUUGUACCUUGUGUAUCAGGGAAGUUCUAAAUGGUUUAAAUAUUAUAAAAAUCUCGAAAUAAAAAUAGCUAAUCAUAUUUAUAAGUUUUUGUAACAUAAAAAUUUUAAAAAUAAGGUUAAAGAUGAAAUGUCAUACGAGUUUUAAUAUCUGGUUGUCUGGAAAAUAAAUAUAAUUUAGGCUUGCAGAAUAGUUUUCUGUGGAGCUAAGAGUAGGAGGGAAUAGCUUCUUAUUCAAUAAUAUGUUUAUAAUAGUUGGAUUUUUUAAAAAAAAAUUUUUUAUCUAGGCUUAAAAGUAGUUAAGGUAGAAUAGUGUUUUAACAUAAAAAAAAAAUUAAGUGGAUUUAUAUAUAGGACUUUAAGUUUUAUCAGAAUAUCAUUUAAAAUAAUUUGUAUUAAGAAAUAAUGAGUUUAUUAGUAUAAAUAAAAUAUUUGUUUUUAUAGGGAAAUAAAAUAAUAGGUGUAUAUAAUUAUAUUAUGGUAAAAUAAAGGAAUUCGGCAAUUUUUUUCUUUGCCUGUUUAUCAAAAACAUGGCUAUUAGAAGGUGUUUAUAGUCUAGCCUGCUCACUGACAAAAUAUUGUUUAAGAGCCGCGGUAUUUUGACCGUGCAAAGGUAGCAUAAUCAUUAGUUUUUUAAUUGGAAACUUGUAUGAAUGGUUGGACAAAAGAAGAACUGUCUCUAUUUUAAAAAUUGAAAUUAACUUUUAAGUGAAAAGGCUUAAAUAAUUCAAUGGGACGAUAAGACCCUAUAAAGCUUUAUAUUGUAUUUAAAUUUGAUUGAAUUAUUAUAAAGGUAUAAAAGUUUAGUUUAAAUUAUAUAUUUUGUUGGGGCGGCGUGUAUAUAAAUAAAUUUAACUGUAUAGGAAGAAAUCAUUAAUAAAUGAAUGAAAAUUAAAUGAUCCCUUUUAAGGAUUAAAAGAUUAAGUUACUUUAGGGAUAACAGCGUUAUUUCUUUUGAGAGUUCUUAUCGAAAAAGAAGUUUGCGACCUCGAUGUUGAAUUAAAAUGUCUUUAUGGUGUAGGUGCUAUAAGAGGAAGGUCUGUUCGACCUUUAAAAUUUUACAUGAUUUGAGUUCAGACCGGCGUGAGCCAGGUCGGUUUCUAUCUUUUGAAAAAAGAAAGUUAUUUUAGUACGAAAGGAUCAAAUAACUGAAAUGGUUUUAAAAAGUGAAAUGGAAAAGAAA